CAGAGAAUAGUUUAAUAAAAAUAAUAAUUUUGGAUAUUGUUGAUAAAGAGUAUUCUUUUUCUCUGA
rnacentral:tRNA from 1 species